rnacentral:rRNA from 1 species
UACGUAGGGUCCAAGCGUUAUCCGGAAUCACUGGGCGUAAAGCGUGCGUAGGUGGAUGUUUAAGUGUGAUGUUAAAUCGCGGGGCUCAACCCUGUCGAUGCAUCGCAUACUGGACGUCUAGAGGACGGCAGAGGCAAGUGGAACUAGUAGUGUAGCAGUGAAAUGCGUAGAUAUUACUAAGAACACCAAUGGCGAAGGCAGCUUGCUGGGCCACUCCUGACACUGAGGUACGAAAGCGUGGGGAGCGAACAGG